GGACUGAUACAUAGUACAAGACUGCAAGUGGUCAUGCGGCGCUUGUGUGCUCUGUUUCUGCUGACUUUGCUAAGCAGUGCUAUUCAUACUGUAACCAGUUAUUCUGUACUAACUCGCAGCAGAGGAGAAAAUGUUACACUGAACUGCACCAGACUGGAUAGCAACCACAACAACAUGUACUGGUACAGGCAAUACCCCGGAAAGGGACUGGAACUCCUGUACUACUCCUAUGGACAAGAUAAGCAGGAGGAAGGAGAUGUGAAGGAUCCCCGAUUCACAGCCAGCAGACCUACAGUAGAAAAGUUCUAUUUGGAAAUCAGAAACCUGGAGCCCCAGGACAGCGCCAUGUAUUUCUGUGCGAGUAGUGAGACACAGCGAGUUAUUAUAAAGGCAGCCUCGUACAAAAACACCCCAGAUAUGCAUUGCAGACUUCACUUGCUUUUGCCGUUCAAGUACUCUGAGCCAACUUUCCUUUUUAAACAGUGGUUUAACAUCAAACUGGCUACCGUUCAUUUUGAAGACAUUGCAGUAUUUAUUUUUCACUGCUGGUGUUUUCUUUCUGUUGGUAACGUGCGUGCAGUGCGCACAGCGAUAAACUAAAUCAGGGACAAAUCUGAACAAAAUCAGGGACAGAUCCAGAAAUAAUCGGGACGCUUAAAAUAUUAGCACUAUUAACUACAGACAUUGACAAAAUGCGAGAAUG